rnacentral:lncRNA from 1 species
AGUUAAAGUGAAUGAUGAAUGGUCUUAAGGGUGAUGGUGGGGAACCAUGUAUAAAAAGAUUAGGAGCCUCUCCUCUGUCAUGUCAUCAUGUCCAAUUUUGUGAGCUCUUUGACUCAGAAACUCUCUGAAGCUUUAAGUGGCCUCCUCGGCUGAGCACACCUGGGUCAGUAAUGAACCAUUUGCAAAGGUAGGGCUCUGUGUGUUGUGGUUGGAGAUGCUGAGGAGGAGGCCAAUGCAGUUAUAUUAG